rnacentral:rRNA from 1 species
GACGGGGGGGGCAAGUGUUCUUCGGAAUUAUUGGGCGUAAAGCGCGCGUAGGCGGUUACUUAAGUCGGAUGUGAAAGCCCUCGGCUUAACUGAGGAAGUGCACCCGAAACUGAGUAGCUAGAGUACGAAAGAGGGUCGCGGAAUUCCCGGUGUAGAGGUGAAAUGCGUAGAUAUCGCUUGGAACGCCGAAGGUGAAAACAGGCUGCUGGGGUCGCGCCGACGCUGAGACACGAAAGCCAGGGGAGACAAAACGGGG